UCGCGUUAACGCGCGGUAAUUAAUUUUUUAAAUUAAUCACGUUAAAAUAUUUGAUGCAAUUAACGCACAUGUCCCGCUCAGAAAGUAUUCUGCCUUUUGGUAAAUUUUACAGCAAGACUUUGUGCUGUCCAACAGCGAACUCUUGUGGUCGCUUUGCGACAUGGUUUAUUGUUUUCUUUCCAGUUCAUUAUGGCUGCACGACGUCUCGGGCUGUUAAUGUUGUGCUUGUAUGAUCCUUGGACAAGAUUUGUCCGUGACGGAUCUGAUAAAUCUGAUAAAUCUGAGAACACUGGCACUAGCAGGAUGAGGAUCAAUCUGGACAACGCUUUUACAUGACAAAAAUAAGCCAAUCAUGAGACCAGUUUCCAGUCUUCAUCCGGGUUUCCACAGCUCUGUAAACCAUGGCCUGAUUUAAUAUUUAUGCGAUGGCGAAGACCCUACAAUGGCUGGCACAAGAAACAUGGAUAAAGCUAAAGCAUUGAACCUUUGACCUGAAGUAGCCUCGGUGAUACAACAGUUUCCUGGAUGGGCAGUGUCACCGUUAAAGUCUCGUCUGUGUUAAACCAGCACAUGUCAAGCCUCCAAACUCCAGCAUUCAUUUAUUCAGAGCUCCACCGGCAUCCUCAAAUGUCCCCGUCUCUCUGCGUCAAGCUCAAAAGACACUUGGGGCGUCCUGUGAUGUGGAGCAGAAUGCUGAUG